rnacentral:rRNA from 1 species
GCCUACGGCCAUACCACCCUGAAAGCGCCCGAUCUCGUCUGAUCUCGGAAGCUAAGCAGGGACGGGCUUGGUUAGUACCUGGAUGGGAGACCGCCUGGGAAUACCCGGUGUUGUAGGCU